CCCACUCGUUCCGCCACCCACCCCUGCCCCCGAGCGGGGCGGCCCCGUCCGUCGAGGUGGCAGGGUCAGCGGGGCACGGCGGGGCAAGUUUCCCGGGCAUGGGGAUUUGCGAGGUAACCGGGCGACACGAGGCCGGGCAGGCAGGCGGGGCCGGCCGACAUGGGAGGCCGAUACGGGAGGGAGGGGAAUAAGGGGGGAGGCCGGCGAACCGACCCCCCCAACCCCCUGUCAC